ACUUAAUAAAACGAACACCGUCGUAUAAUAUUGAGGAUAUGGCUCAAGAGUUUCUACCAGACUACCGUAAAUGGUCUGACUACGAGGGGUGAAGGGUGGAGG
rnacentral:ncRNA from 2 species